CGCCCGCUCAGAAACUUAAGGAAUUGACGGGGGCCCGCACAAGCGGCGGAGCAUGUGGAUUAAUUCGAUGCAACGCGAAGAACCUUACCUGGGCUUGACAUACACCAGAUCGGCGCAGAGAUGCGUUUUCCCUUGUGGUUGGUGUACAGGUGGUGCAUGGUUGUCGUCAGCUCGUGUCGUGAGAUGUUGGGUUAAGUCCCGCAACGAGCGCAACCCUUGUCUUAUGUUGCCAGCACGUGAUGGUGGGGACUCAUGAGAGACUGCCGGGGUUAACUCGGAGGAAGGUGGGGAUGACGUCAAAUCAUCAUGCCCCUUAUGUCCAGGGCUUCACACAUGCUACAAUGGUCGGUACAAAGGGUUGCCAAGCCGCGAGGUGGAGCUAAUCCCAUAAAACCGAUCGUAGUCCGGAUCGCAGUCUGCAACUCGACUGCGUGAAGUCGGAAUCGCUAGUAAUCGUGAAUCAGAAUGUCACGGUGAAUACGUUCCCGGGCCUU
rnacentral:rRNA from 1 species